rnacentral:rRNA from 1 species
AUGCACGCUGGCGGCGUGCCUAAUCCAUGCCAGUCGAGCGAACAGACGAGGAGCUUGCUCCUCUGACGUUAGCGGCGGACGGGUGAGUAACACGUGGAUAACCUACCUAUAAGACUGGGAUAACUUCGGGAAACCGGAGCUAAUGCCGGAUAAUAUAUUGAACCGCAUGGUUCAAUAGUGAAAGACGGUUUUGCUGUCACUUAUAGAUGGAUCCGCGCCGCAUUAGCUAGUUGGUAAGGUAACGGCUUACCAAGGCGACGAUGCGUAGCCGACCUGAGAGGGUGAUCGGCCACACUGGAACUGAGACACGGUCCAGACUCCUACGGGAGGCAGCAGUAGGGAAUCUUCCGCAAUGGGCGAAAGCCUGACGGAGCAACGCCGCGUGAGUGAUGAAGGUCUUCGGAUCGUAAAACUCUGUUAUUAGGGAAGAACAAAUGUGUAAGUAACUAUGCACGUCUUGACGGUACCUAAUCAGAAAGCCACGGCUAACUACGU